rnacentral:rRNA from 1 species
GCUUAACACAUGCAAGUCGAGGGGCAGCAUGGUCUUAGCUUGCUAAGGCCGAUGGCGACCGGCGCACGGGUGAGUAACACGUAUCCAACCUGCCGUCUAUUCUUGGACAGCCUUCUGAAAGGAAGAUUAAUACAAGAUGGCAUCAUGAGUCCGCAUGUUCACAUGAUUAAAGGUAUUCCGGUAGACGAUGGGGAUGCGUUCCAUUAGAUAGUAGGCGGGGUAACGGCCCACCUAGUCUUCGAUGGAUAGGGGUUCUGAGAGGAAGGUCCCCCACAUUGGAACUGAGACACGGUCCAAACUCCUACGGGAGGCAGCAGUGAGGAAUAUUGGUCAAUGGGCGAGAGCCUGAACCAGCCAAGUAGCGUGAAGGAUGACUGCCCUAUGGGUUGUAAACUUCUUUUAUAAAGGAAUAAAGUCGGGUAUGCAUACCCGUUUGCAUGUACUUUAUGAAUAAGGAUCGGCUAACUCCGUGCCAGCAGCCGCGGUAAUACGGAGGAUCCGAGCGUUAUCCGGAUUUAUUGGGUUUAAAGGGAGCGUAGAUGGAUGUUUAAGUCAGUUGUGAAAGUUUGCGGCUCAACCGUAAAAUUGCAGUUGAUACUGGAUAUCUUGAGUGCAGUUGAGGCAGGCGGAAUUCGUGGUGUAGCGGUGAAAUGCUUAGAUAUCACGAAGAACUCCGAUUGCGAAGGCAGCCUGCUAAGCUGCAACUGACAUUGAGGCUCGAAAGUGUGG